GGUCCUAUGGGGUAGUGGUUAUCCCACCGGAUUUUGAUGAACAAUAUAGGUAUAUAUUUCUGUAUAUCUAUAGGAAGAUCAAAUCUUCCGGUAACGCCGGUUCGAAUCCGGCUAGGACCU